AUGGCAGCGUGAGCAGACUCUGAACUCACCUCCUCCCGUGGACACAGCCAAUUUACAACUACUCGUGGAAAAAUUACCCCUGAGACAGAACUGAAAACUGCAUAAGAGGAACUCCUGCAACAACGGACAAUCCUAACUGAGGCAGAAGAGGCAGAGACUCCCUUCUGGAGAGGAAAAACGCCGCCUUCACAAGCCGCCAGCUUCACGGCCGCCGGGAGCAGCGCACAGCGUUGAGAGUGCUCCAUUAGAAUAGCAAUCCUCUCUCCACCGAUUCACUCUACGGAAAGAGGAAUAUCUCAUCUGAUAGUUUCAGAUGGAAAGCUGAAACAACACUAGCGUCAAUUACCCCUUGCAGUAGUUCCAAAUAAGCAUUCGGUAACAUAUUUUGUGACGUGAGUGGUGCAGAACACUGUUACGGUGGGGUUGCAGGAAUGGUCAUGAUGCAUGUAUAUUUUAUUUAAUAUAUGAUUAAAGUUGGCUUACUAAUAUUUUAUUUAGGAUAUUUUUACCUCUGUUCAUAAGUAACAAUGUUAUAUAAUUUUAUUUUUUCUUAUUGUCCUUGUCAGGUUUGGCACCAGCAUUACAAAAUAAGUUACAUUAUAAUGGUCCUUCUUUCUUUUCUCCGGAAGAAUUGCAUAAGAUUGGAAUUAUCUAUUCCAUGAAUUAUCUGUCCCAUGAAUUAUCUGUCCCAUGAAUAACCCUUAAAACACCUAGGUUUUUUGGUGUGCAAAUUUUUAAAUACCAUUUAAACUAGUUUGAUGCCUUCAGGAGUGAUAAGUUUUAAUUUUUGCUUAAGUCAGAUUUGGUAAAUAAUUAUUUUUCUAAAAAUGUAUUCAUGGUAUCUAGUUUUCAAAUAUGGCCUAAAUUUCUUCAGAUCAGUGACAGCUUCUAUA